AUUGACAGUUUGCUCAAAAAAAAAAAAAGACACAAAGGGUCAGUCUCUCACUCUUUGGAGAACAGCAAAGGCAGUGGUGCCCUCAGACCAGCGGACUCGAAGAGUUGAGAGGAACAAGCGAAGAUGUCACUGGUGGACUACGCAUCUUCAGACGACGACGUUUCGGAGGAAGAUAAAGAGAACAAGGAAAACGAGCCGGCACAAGUAGCCAUGGAUGAACCCCACCCUCCGACUCGUCCUCCUCACACCCAUUUUUGUUGGAUCUUUUGGACUGCUUGCUUUUGGUGCAAAGAGUUUUAUGAUUGGCGGGUUACAUUUUGAUAAACAGUUUGCUUAUUUGAACAUAUUUGAGGCUUGGAUUUAUAUAUAUUUGAUUUAGAGGAAUUGUAUAGUGUGAGGAGAAUAAGGUCAACAAGAAAGUUGGGAAGUUCUGCAGCAAGGUUGAAACUGAAUUUGAACAACAAUGGGAGAUGAUAAGGUGGAAGAAAGGAAAACGACCUGUUUCCCACCGCGAAGGAUGCAAGCUAAUGUGAAGUAGCUGGUUUGGCCAAGCCCUUUUCACACAAACACCAUCGCGCGGGCAUAAUUGCUAGUCUUAUCCAAAACUUAGCUCGUUGCCAGGAAAAAUGCCAAGCUGCUAAGAUGACUCUUAGGAUGCAACUGUUAGACUUCAAAAAACAACUUGCAGAUUUGGAAGCCACAGAACAAAGUGUUAGUGAAGCAGAAAGGCAGGUUCAUGAGGCAACAAAGCGAGCUAAACAACUGAGAGCUACUUUUGCAGCUGCAAGAGAAUCCCUUGAAGAGAAGAUCAGUGAUUUGGAAAAAUCUUCCGAAGAGCAAGAUCAACUAGAUGAAGAGCUGUGUCAAAAAAGAGUACAAGCCCAUGAAGAUAAGCUUCCAGAAUUUGAGCGUGUGAAGGCCUCCUUCAAAUCUCAGCAAGAGCAGUUUGCCAACUUGAUUAAUUCCUUGAAUCAUUUGGCGCUAAACCCAAAUAGGGCGGUGUGUUCUUUAUUAAUGGACUUGGCUAUAGGAUUUUUUUUUCCUUCCUUUUAGUAGCACUUUUCUCUUCUUCUUUUUUUAAGUCUUGCUUUGAUGUACUUCGGCCUUGAGGCUGCUCUGUAGCUUCUUUUAUCAACUUGGAAUAAGAAUGAAAUUACAUGUUACUUUCAAAAGGUGGAGCUGAUGAUUUGUGUUUGAA